GUGCCCAUUCAACCAGCAUGACUCUAAUCCAAUUCAAUGACUUGGUAAAGUCAGUGGGAGGAUUGUGGUUUACUGGUUGAUUUCUUUUUUUUUCAGUUUAUAAAUUAAAUCUUCUAAAUUAUUAGGUCCAUAAAAUAAGCUAGUUAUGGUGAUAAUAAGAUCAUAGCCUCCCAUUAAGUUGGGUGAUAAUGGAUCUAUUAGCAUGA
rnacentral:lncRNA from 1 species